rnacentral:rRNA from 1 species
AGAAUCAACGCUGGCGGCGUGCCUAACACAUGCAAGUCGAACGAGAAAGUGGAGCAAUCCAUGAGUAAAGUGGCGACCGGGUGAGUAACACGUGACUAACCUACCUUCGAGUGGGGGAUAACAUCGGGAAACCGAUGCUAAUACCGCAUAACAUCGCAAGAUCAAAGCAGUAAUGCGCUGGAAGAGGGGGUCGCGGCUGAUUAGCUAGUUGGCGGGGUAACGGCCCACCAAGGCGAAGAUCGGUAGCCGGCCUGAGAGGGCGCACGGCCACACUGGAACUGAAACACGGUCCAGACUCCUACGGGAGGCAGCAGUGGGGAAUUUUGCGCAAUGGGGGAAACCCUGACGCAGCAACGCCGCGUGGAGGAUGAAGCCCCUUGGGGUGUAAACUCCUUUCGACCAAGACGAUAAUGACGGUACUGGUGGAAGAAGCACCGGCUAACUCUGCGCCAGCAGCCGC